rnacentral:rRNA from 1 species
CAUGCAAGUUGAGCGCUGAAGGUUGGUACUUGUACCAACUGGAUGAGCAGCGAACGGGUGAGUAACGCGUGGGGAAUCUGCCUUUGAGCGGGGGACAACAUUUGGAAACGAAUGCUAAUACCGCAUAAAAACUUUAAACACAAGUUUUAAGUUUGAAAGAUGCAAUUGCAUCACUCAAAGAUGAUCCCGCGUUGUAUUAGCUAGUUGGUGAGGUAAAGGCUCACCAAGGCGAUGAUACAUAGCCGACCUGAGAGGGUGAUCGGCCACAUUGGGACUGAGACACGGCCCAAACUCCUACGGGAGGCAGCAGUAGGGAAUCUUCGGCAAUGGACGAAAGUCUGACCGAGCAACGCCGCGUGAGUGAAGAAGGUUUUCGGAUCGUAAAACUCUGUUGGUAGAGAAGAACGUUGGUGAGAGUGGAAAGCUCAUCAAGUGACGGUAACUACCCAGAAAGGGACGGCUAACUACGUGCCAGCAGCCGCGGUAAUACGUAGGUCCCGAGCGUUGUCCGGAUUUAUUGGGCGUAAAGCGAGCGCAGGUGGUUUAUUAAGUCUGGUGUAAAAGGCAGUGGCUCAACCAUUGUAUGCAUUGGAAACUGGUAGACUUGAGUGCAGGAGAGGAGAGUGGAAUUCCAUGUGUAGCGGUGAAAUGCGUAGAUAUAUGGAGGAACACCGGUGGCGAAAGCGGCUCUCUGGCCUGUAACUGACACUGAGGCUCGAAAGCGUGGGGAGCAAACAGGAUUAGAUACCCUGGUAGUCCACGCCGUAAACGAUGAGUGCUAGAUGUAGGGAGCUAUAAGUUCUCUGUAUCGCAGCUAACGCAAUAAGCACUCCGCCUGGGGAGUACGACCGCAAGGUUGAAACUCAAAGGAAUUGACGGGGGCCCGCACAAGCGGUGGAGCAUGUGGUUUAAUUCGAAGCAACGCGAAGAACCUUACCAGGUCUUGACAUACUCGUGCUAUUCCUAGAGAUAGGAAGUUCCUUCGGGACACGGGAUACAGGUGGUGCAUGGUUGUCGUCAGCUCGUGUCGUGAGAUGUUGGGUUAAGUCCCGCAACNNNNNNNNNNNNNNAGUUGGGCACUCUAACGAGACUGCCGGUGAUAAACCGGAGGAAGGUGGGGAUGACGUCAAAUCAUCAUGCCCCUUAUGACCUGGGCUACACACGUGCUACAAUGGAUGGUACAACGAGUCGCGAGACAGUGAUGUUUAGCUAAUCUCUUAAAACCAUUCUCAGUUCGGAUUGUAGGCUGCAACUCGCCUACAUGAAGUCGGAAUCGCUAGUAAUCGCGGAUCAGCACGCCGCGGUGAAUACGUUCCCGGGCCUUGUACACACCGCCCGUCACACCACGGGAGUUGGGAGUACCCGAAGUAGGUUGCCUAACCGCAAGGAGGGCGCUUCCUAAGGUAAGACCGAUGACUGGGGUGAAGUCGUAACAAGGUAGCCGUAUCGGAAGGUGCGGCUGGAUCACCUCCUUU